UACAGAGGUGGCAAGCGUUGUUCGGAAUUACUGGGCGUAAAGAGCGCGUAGGCGGCCAUCUAAGUCAGACGUGAAAUCCCCCGGCUUAACCUGGGAACUGCGUCUGAUACUGGACGGCUUGAGUAUGGGAGAGGGAUGUAGAAUUCCAGGUGUAGCGGUGAAAUGCGUAGAUAUCUGGAGGAAUACCGGUGGCGAAGGCGGCAUCCUGGACCAUUACUGACGCUGAGGCGCGAAAGCUAGGGGAGCAAACGGG
rnacentral:rRNA from 1 species